AUGUACCGCUCGUACACUGCGUUUCCGCCGCGCCGUCCCCACCCACUUGGCGGACUGCUCGCUACGUUUUGUUAGCC
rnacentral:sRNA from 1 species